rnacentral:rRNA from 1 species
UGGGGAAUUUUGGACAAUGGGCGCAAGCCUGAUCCAGCCAUGCCGCGUGUGGGAAGAAGGCCUUCGGGUUGUAAACCACUUUUGUCAGGGAAGAAACGGCCUGAUCUAAUACAUUGGGUUAAUGACGGUACCUGAAGAAUAAGCACCGGCUAACUACGUGCCAGCAGCCGCGGUAAUACGUAGGGUGCGAGCGUUAAUCGGAAUUACUGGGCGUAAAGCGUGCGCAGGCGGCUUUGCAAGACAGAUGUGAAAUCCCCGGGCUCAACCUGGGAACUGCAUUUGUGACUGCAAGGCUAGAGUACGGUAGAGGGGGAUGGAAUUCCGCGUGUAGCAGUGAAAUGCGUAGAUAUGCGGAGGAACACCGAUGGCGAAGGCAAUCCCCUGGACCUGUACUGACGCUCAUGCACGAAAGCG